GGUUGUUCUUAGUUGGUGGAGAAAUGUGUCUCGUUAAUUAUGUUAACAAACGAGACCUCAACCUACUAACUAGCUACGUGGAGCUUCCCCUUUGCGACCAACUUCUUAGAGAGGCUAUGGUCAUUUAAGCCAUGGAAUUUUCAGGCAAUAAUAGGUGUGUG
rfam:Picea glauca, whole genome shotgun sequence.